CAGCGUGUCACUGAACUGCUGUUUUCAUUUCGAGCUAAUCUUUCUGCUGCCAAGUGCACCUUGGUGAGAAUGGGGGAUACCAGAGACAUCUGUCCUCACCUGGAUUCCAUAGGAGAGGUGACUAGGGAUGAUCUGCUGCUCAAAUCUAAGGGAACUUGCCAGUCUUGUGGAGCUGUGGGACCAAAUCUCUGGGCUUGUCUUCAGGU